UUGACGGGGGCCCGCACAAGCAGCGGAGCGUGUGGUUUAAUUCGAUGCUACACGAAGAACCUUACCUGGGUUUGACAUGCACGUGGUAGGGAACCGAAAGGGGACCGACCUUCGGGAGCGUGCACAGGUGCUGCAUGGCUGUCGCCAGCUCGUGCCGUGAGGUGUCGGGUUAAGUCCCGUAACGAGCGCAACCCUUGCCCUUAGUUACAAGUGUCUAAGGGGACUGCCCGGGACAACUGGGAGGAAGGUGGGGAUGACGUCAAGUCAGCAUGGCCUUUAUAUCCAGGGCUACACACACGCUACAAUGGCCGGUACAAUAGGUUGCGAAGUCGUGAGGCGGAGCCAAUCCUCAAAGCCGGUCUCAGUUCGAAUUGCAGUCUGCAACUCGACUGCAUGAAGCUGGAGUUGCUAGUAAUCGCAGGUCAGCUAUACUGCGGUGAAUACGUUCCCGGGCCUUGUACACACCGCCCGUCACGUCAUGGAAGCUGGCAACGCCUGAAGCCGGUGAGCUAACCCGAAAGGGAGGCAGCCGUCGAGGGUGGGGCUGGUAACUGGGACGAAGUCGUAACAAGGUAACCAAGGGCGAA
rnacentral:rRNA from 1 species